rnacentral:rRNA from 1 species
CCUACGGGAGGCAGCAGUGAGGAAUAUUGGUCAAUGGACGCAAGUCUGAACCAGCCAAGUAGCGUGAAGGAUGACGGCCCUAUGGGUUGUAAACUGCUUUUAUACGGGAAUAAACUGAGCCACGUGUGGCUUUUUGUAUGUACCGUAUGAAUAAGGAUCGGCUAACUCCGUGCCAGCAGCCGCGGUAAUACGGAGGGUCCGGGCGUUAUCCGGAUUUAUUGGGUUUAAAGGGAGCGUAGGUGGAUUGUUAAGGCAGUUGUGAAAGUCCGCGGCUCAACCGUGAAACUGCAGUUGAAACUGGCAGUCUUGAGUACAGUAGAGGUAGGCGGAAUUCGUGGUGUAGCGGUGAAAUGCUUAGAUAUCACGAAGAACUCCGAUUGCGAAGGCAGCUUACUGGACUGCAACUGACACUGAGGCUCGAAAGUGUGGGUAUCAAACAGGAUUAGAUACCCGUGUAGUC